GAAGAAGAAGAAGAAGAAGAAGAAGAAGAACAGCUAGCUUUUAGUUUUCUUCUUCUUCUUUUUCUUCGUUCCGUCCUUUUUCUUGCCCUU
rnacentral:ribozyme from 12 species